rnacentral:lncRNA from 1 species
AGUUGCUCUUAACUAGUAACCUGCUGUAUAUGGAGCUACAUAUAUGUAGUUCAACAAUAUGUAAAAAGGGAAUUUUUAAUUUAACUCAGAAUUCAUGUGUAGAUUUCAUUUGAUAAAAGAUCAGAAACCAGCUUAAUGUUUAAUGAGUGCCACUGUAAUUACUUUUGAAUAAUUGAACUAUUACAUUAUUGAAAAAAGACUAGUGUGUUGCUAGUCUGCUGCUGUAUUGAAAAAGAAAUAUGAAAAUAUUUGUUUUAUUCCACAGAACUGAAGGUUUAUAUUUGUUUUAUGUAUGUUGGACUGAUUUUUUUCCCUGUGCAGUGAAGAAGCAUUUCUUUAGGCAAAGAUUUUCAGCUGUUUCAGGUGCUUGUUUGUGUUAAAAUGUUUGGCUUUUCUAGAAUUUGCCAUACUUAGACAUUCAAUCUAUUUGCUGAACAAAACAGAAUGUUUCAAACUUCUUUUUCUGAAACCUUGGCUAGGCAACGUAGAUUUGUGUGUGAGGAAAAUUUUGUGAUGUCCUGAUGAUGUCAUGAAAAAGUACACAUCUUUGAUUCACUUACAUAGGAUAUGAUCUGAUUCACUUAACUUUCAUAGGGUUGGUAAAACAUUAUGAUCAUAUUUGUGUAGUUAAAUCACGAUGACGUUAUCACUUGAUUUAUAUUAAGGUUUUUUAUAUUUUUGAAAAACCCAUUUACCAUGUACACCAUGCAUUCUGAAAUGUAUAUGAGGAAACACACAAAUCAACUGUGACUGUUACAAAGUAAUAAUUUUGGCUGAUAUUGUAAGCACUAGUUGUCUUCAUAUAAUGCCCCCUCUGGGCCUUCUCAUGUAUCUCAAACUUGACACUCUUGCCAAUAGGGCUGUACUGGGUUUAUGAUGUUGAAAUUUCCAUGGGUGUGCCUAUUAGUAAGCGAAACAGAGACAAAUAACCCGGAUGUAAAAUAGCCAUAAUGUCUCACUUAAUGAGACGAAUGAAAUCUGGACCCAUACAGGGCUUAAAAUAACAUAGCAGUUCAUCCUGGCUUAUUUUAUCCAUGGCGCAAGAGGUACAAAGGCUCAUUGUCGUUCAGUUCACAAUGUAAAACAGUCUCUGUUAAGUACAUUAAAAAACAAAUGGAACUCCCUAAUCAGCCCUGUAUGCAAUGGGAAUAAAAACUCCCAUUAAUAAAACAAUGCUUGACCAGGAAUUUAUUGGUUCCUAACACUUCCUCUGUGUUGAUGUCACUGACUUGUACUGAAAUCAGUGAAAAAAAUAACACGUGGGCAGAGGGCGAAUUUACCUGAGAAAUUCCUUAAAGAGCCCCCAAAAGGCCUGAAAACGUGCAUUCGAGGCAACAGGAAAAUGCAAGACACCCUCAUAAAUUGGGAGUUAAUAUGAAAAAAAUUAGUAGCAUUUAGUUGGAUUGGUAUCACAUACCCUUCCAACAAAGGACGAGAACAUCAUGCCUCACAUUGUUCGAAAAUUUUAGAAGCUUGCUUCAUGAAGAAUUCAAUAAAAGCAGUGUCAAAGUUCAGGAAUGAGGAACCUUCUAUAUAUAAUGCUUUUAAUAUGUGUCACGCCAGUCAAUCGAUACCCUUUGAUAAAGCUUGUAUAUGUCUGGCUACUGCUUCGAUCAUAUCAUGUGAAGAUCAAAUGAGUUUAUAGGGUGGACCAGACCAGACUAUAUGCAUGCACUGCAUACAGGGCGAGACUAGCCCUGUGCAAACGUACAUACAUACUUUACGGCGCUAAAUCUGGUUUUUUGCUGCGUGACUGAUGAAUUGCUUUCUUAAGCCACAACCUGGAUCAUCUAAGGCACCAUUAAGACAACUAGAAAGUGAAGAAACAUCUCAAGCUGCCCCUGAACAAAAGAAAAAGAAGAAAAACCUAUCAUAAACGAGUAUAUCAGGAAAAUAUGGGAACUACAUGGAGAUUGGGUGCACAUUUCCAGGGACAGCAGAGGGGCUUGUGGCCAGGGCCUGAGAGUGUUAAAGAUUCAAUGUAUAGCCUGCAAGGAGUAUUGGCACAAAACUUUUUGGAGCAACAGGGGAUCAGUGACCAAGGAUCCAUUCAUUCUCGGCACUGGAGAUUCCAAGAAAUAUUCUGCACUGAGACACACAGAAAGUGAUGGGCGCAGAGCUACAUAUGACUGUUGGAAAAAGGACAUGCAGUUCAAAGUAGCGAUAUUGCAGAUGAUAACAGGGCUGGAGAAGCGACAUGGUGUGUAGCUUGGAACAACUUAUCUAAAUCCAAUCAAGGCCCAUACAUUCACUGAAUUUCUGGCAGAAAACAUCCGCCUUGAACUGAACUGUGCUGUCAAAGAUGCACACUACAUGAGCAUUCUUGUUGAUGGCAUCAUGGACAGGAGCUUUCUGGAGGAGCUGGUGUACGUCAAAUACCUGGAUGGUGGGCAUGCCAUGAACACGUUUCUUUGGCAUCGAAGAUGUUGAAAAUGCCACAACUGAUGGUGUUCUUGGGGCAUUUGACAGCUAAUUUACCAGACAUGACACCCCAUCCUGGAAGAGAAACCAAAUUGGCUUCUGUGCAAAUUGAGCAAGUGUGAACUUUGGUUG